rnacentral:rRNA from 1 species
UGGGGAAUAUUGCACAAUGGGGGAAACCCUGAUGCAGCGACGCCGCGUGAGCGAAGAAGGUUUUCGAAUCGUAAAGCUCUGUCCUAUGAGAAGAUAAUGACGGUAUCAUAGGAGGAAGCCCCGGCUAAAUACGUGCCAGCAGCCGCGGUAAUACGUAUGGGGCGAGCGUUGUCCGGAAUUAUUGGGCGUAAAGGGUACGUAGGCGGUCUAUUAAGUCAGGUGUGAAAGCGUGAGGCUUAACCUCAUUAAGCACUUGAAACUGAUAGACUUGAGUGAAGGAGAGGAAAGUGGAAUUCCUAGUGUAGCGGUGAAAUGCGUGGAUAUUAGGAGGAAUACCGGUGGCGAAGGCGACUUUCUGGACUUUUACGGACGCUCAGGUACGAAAGCGUGGGGAGCAAACAGG